rnacentral:rRNA from 1 species
CCUACGGGAGGCAGCAGUAGGGAAUAUUGCUCAAUGGGGGAAACCCUGAAGCAGCAACGCCGCGUGGGGGAUGAAGGUUUUAGGAUUGUAAACUCCUUUUGUUAGAGAAGAUUAUGACGGUAUCUAACGAAUAAGCACCGGCUAACUCCGUACCAGCAGCCGCGGUAAUACGGCGGGUGCAAGCGUUACUCGGAAUCACUGGGCGUAAAGAGUUCGUAGGCGGGGUAAUAAGUCAGGAGUGAAAUCCUGUAGCUUAACUACAGAACUGCAUUUGAAACUGUUACUCUGGAGUGUGGGAGAGGUAGGUGGAAUGCUUGGUGUAGGGGUAAAAUGCGUAGAGAUCAAGAGGAAUACUGAUUGCGAAGGCGACCUGCUGGAACAUUACUGACGCUGAGGCACGAAAGCGUGGGGAGCAAACAGGAUUAGAUACCCGGGUAGUC